UGUGUCUGAGUGUUUGUGCCUGUAGCUCUGAGCAUGGUUCUGGGUGUGUUAUGUAUGUGUGUUAAUGUGUGUGUACAUGUCUGUAUGCGUGUGUAUCUCUCGCUAUGGCUGUGUCUGUAAUAUGCGUCCUUGUGCUAUUGCGUGUGGUGUAUGUAUUUGAUGGGGGAGGGGGAGAGAAAAUGCUGUGCCUGCCUGUAAUAAGAGCACUGCACAUGUGGCAUCAAGUAAGUUAUCCUGAGCUGACCCCUGGAUUCCAGUGUUUACUGUGUGACGCAUUAUGUCUGAGGGUCAGUGUGUCGAUAUAUUUUCAGGAAGCACAUCUGUCUACCUUCAAGGGACAUCAUCAUGAGUUCAUCGCUAUAUCACAGCAUGUGAACCAAGGGUAUAAAUCAGAACACCCAUUCAGUCUUUACUGAAAGAAACGCAAAUCAAAUUUCUGCAAAUUGCCCUUUAAUUUCAGUUCUCUAAGUCUUGAUAUUGUAGCCGCCGAAAAAAAAGUGGCCAGAAACUGUUCAUUAGGAAUAGAGAGUAGCUGCCCCUUCAUGUGUGCUGCAUUGAGAUAAACCUGCUCACAAGUCCUUUGGUUCCAACAAAGGUUCACCCACCAAAUCCUAGCGUCAUUUAAAAUGAACAUACACCAAAGGAAGUGACUGAAGAUUUAAUUAAACAGAAAUCAUGCCAAGUGUCCUCUUCCUUAAAGCGGAAUUCAGAAAGAGCUGGGUGCCAUUCGCUGUGAAAUGCAGAGAGGCAUCAAGCAACCAUUCUUCCUGUUUUUGUUGUAACGAUAAAGGUUUAUGCACACAAGUGAGCAAGAGUGGAAAAGCACUGAAGAUAACAGUCCCAGAUCAAGAGAUGAAGACAAAAUGGUUCACUCUAAUGAAACUAGAAAGUGAACUCAUAACUGCUGAAACUAAUUAUUUUUACCGUGUGUGACCUUUCAUUUACCAUAACUAUAUAAUUAGGGUGUAGAUGUCUUUGAAAUAUAAACAACAUGGCUGUUUCCA